rnacentral:rRNA from 1 species
AAGGGCCGCGGUAUUUCUGACCGUGCGAAGGUAGCAUAAUCAAUAGUCUUUUAAUUGGAGGCUCGUAUGAACGGUUGGACGAAAAACACACUGUUUGGGCAAAGUAUUUGAAUUUAACUUUUAAGUGAAAAGGCUUAAAUGAAUUAAAAAGACGAUAAGACCCUAUAAAUCUUGACACUUUUUUUUGCUUUACUGGUUUGUGAAAGUGGGCAUGAGCGGUGGUUGUGUUGGGGCAACAAUAGUACAGUAAUGUUAGUUAUUAGCAUAAUUAAACAGUGGGGCUGUGGAGGAUCCUUGUUAAAGAUUAAGAGAUUAAGUUACUUUAGGGAUAACAGCGUUAUUUUUUCUGAGAGUUCUUAUCGAAGAAAGAGAUUGCGACCUCGAUGUUGAAUUAAAAAAUCUUUUUAGUGCAGCCGCU